GCUUAACACAUGCAAGUCGAACGGAAAGGCCCUGCUUUUGUGGGGUGCUCGAGUGGCGAACGGGUGAGUAACACGUGAGUAACCUGCCCUUGACUUUGGGAUAACUUCAGGAAACUGGGGCUAAUACCGGAUAGGAGCUCCUGCUGCAUGGUGGGGGUUGGAAAGUUUCGGCGGUUGGGGAUGGACUCGCGGCUUACCAGCUUGUUGGUGGGGUAGUGGCUUACCAAGGCUUUGACGGGUAGCCGGCCUGAGAGGGUGACCGGCCACAUUGGGACUGAGAUACGGCCCAGACUCCUACGGGAGGCGGCAGUGGGGAAUAUUGCACAAUGGGCGGAAGCCUGAUGCAGCAACGCCGCGUGCGGGAUGACGGCCUUCGGGUUGUAAACCGCUUUCGCCUGUGACGAAGCGUGAGUGACGGUAAUGGGUAAAGAAGCACCGGCUAACUACGUGCCAGCAGCCGCGGUGAUACGUAGGGUGCGAGCGUUGUCCGGAUUUAUUGGGCGUAAAGGGCUCGUAGGUGGUUGAUCGCGUCGGAAGUGUAAUCUUGGGGCUUAACCCUGAGCGUGCUUUCGAUACGGGUUGACUUGAGGAAGGUAGGGGAGAAUGGAAUUCCUGGUGGAGCGGUGGAAUGCGCAGAUAUCAGGGGGAACACCAGUGGCGAAGGCGGUUCUCUGGGCCUUUCCUGACGCUGAGGAGCGAAAGCGUGGGGAGCGAACAGGCUUAGAUACCCUGGCAGUCCACGCUGUAAACGGCGGGUACUAGGUGUGGGGUCCAUUCCACGGGUUCCGUGCCGUAGCUAACGCUUUAAGUACCCCGCCUGGGGAGUACGGCCGCAAGGCUAAAACUCAAAGGAAUUGACGGGGCCCCGCACAAGCGGCGGAGCAUGCGGAUUAAUUCGAUGCAACGCGUAGAACCUUACCUGGGUUUGACAUGGAUCGGGAGUGCUCAGAGAUGGGUGUGCCUCUUUUGGGGUCGGUUCACAGGUGGUGCAUGGCUGUCGUCAGCUCGUGUCGUGAGAUGUUGGGUUAAGUCCCGCAACGAGCGCAACCCUGUUCACUGUUGCCAGCACGUUAUGGUGGGGACUCAGUGGAGACCGCCGGGGUCAACUCGGAGGAAGGUGGGGAUGACGUCAAGUCAUCAUGCCCCUUAUGUCCAGGGCUUCACGCAUGCUACAAUGGCUGGUACAGAGAGUGGCGAGCCUGUGAGGGUGAGCGAAUCUCGGAAAGCCGGUCUCAGUUCGGAUUGGGGUCUGCAACUCGACCUCAUGAAGUCGGAGUCGCUAGUAAUCGCAGAUCAGCAACGCUGCGGUGAAUACGUUCCCGGGGCUUGUACACACCGCCCGUCAAGUCAUGAAAGUUGGUAACACCCGAAGCCGGUGGCCUAACCGUUGUGGGGGAGCCGUCGAAGGUGGGACUGGUGAUUAGGACUAAGU
rnacentral:rRNA from 1 species